GUAUGAAAUAUGAGAUCUGGACCUCACGUUCAUUGAUUUUGGACCCAAGUUUUGUUGAGAGAGCCGCUAGUGGUUUCUUUGGUCGGGCACUUCAGGUUACAAAUAGCAGGGAUGUGCGGCAGAUACCUAUCACACUAAUAAUCUUCAAAUUGGAAGUUCUGGUCAUUGCAGGGUAUUAUCACCUCAUGCCAUUGUCUAAUGUACUCUUAUAGUAAAGAUUUCACUUCUAAUGCCCUUUGUGUAGAGCUACUUUUCUGUCGAUUUUGAUAUGUUCCUGUUUAGCACAUAUGUCAUGACACAUCUUUUACUACCUCGGGUUGUUAGAUUUAUUUUGUCUAAAGUAUCAUGGAAUCUUGUCCCUUCUUAAUCUAGGUGACUAAUGCUCUUUCACACGCUUGUUUCCCUUAAAUCUGAUAUUUGGAUUGAUUUCACCAAAAGCAAUUAAUGGGCAGGUUUGUUCAAUGUUGAAAUCAUCUAGAAAAUUUAACUCUUUAUUUUGCAUUUUGUUGUUUCUUAAUUAGGCAAACUGUCCUUCAGCAAUGGGAGCUUGCACUUAAUAUGGGAUACUCCUAAUCCAAAUGAGCACACUAUUAUAGCGAGGACCAUCUCAGGAUUAGAUGACUUCACACAAGUAAUCGGCCAGUACAGAGGAAUUGUUCCACAAAUUCGUUUGGUUCGCUGGUUAGUGUAUAAUCAAUUUUCUGUAGUACUCAAAUAAAACAUGCUAACAAUCAUUUUGUAUAGACUAAUGAGUUUAUUUUAAGGAGCGCCAGGCCAUCUUUCUCGUGUCAGCGAUCAUCUCCCUGUGCCUUCCCAUAGUGAUGCUUAGCCGCUGUCUAUCUAUAGUGUUCCAACCAGUGAUGAGAGCAGGAAGGAAGAGGAGGCAGAAAGGGAGAUGGGUAGGGAAAGAACAAAGGAUGCUAUGUAGUCUCUUUGAUGUGAUGCCACAAUUUUCUUUUUUCUUUUGCUAUUAAGUAGAGGUUGUGUGCUCUCUUUUGGAUCUAAUGCCAUCAUUUUUUUUGCUACCAACCCCGAUUUUAAGUUGGUCAGGUGCAAAGGAGGCUAACACAGUAUAUUGAACAAUAUGGUCUGGUAUUAUUGUUAGUUAUCACUUAUCAAUCGAUCCAGGAUUCAAUCUCAUUUUCAAAUUCAAGUGUUUCAUUUGAAGGAUGACGCAAAUCACACGCAAGGAACAUGUUAAUAUGCAUACUAUUGGUCUUCCUGAGUCAUUUGUGCAACAUAUAUAUUACGCCAUAGCAAUUGAAAGCUGACUGGUGUGCAGGUUGAAUUUUGUGUGUUCUAACUUCUAAGUUCUACAACAAUCAAGGGCUAUUGGUUCUGGAAAUUAUUCACAAACAUGCGGGCUCUGACCUACUUUUGUCCAAAUAUCUUUCUUUGUAGUGAAUUGUGCUGAUUCACAUUAAGGUGCAGCGAAACUACCUGAAAUCAUAUUAUUUUGUCUUCCCAUCGGCUACUUUUAAGAGGUCCUGAAGAGGAUGUUUCUGCACCCCUAUUAUGCUUACAGAAAAAGGCACCAGAAGGCUAUGGAUUUUCAAGAAUGGGCACUUUCGCUCAAUGGUCUUCCGAUGCAACACUGUAUGUGUCGUCAAAUUUUGGCUUUUGGCUGCUCGUGUAGUGUCUUCCUAAAUUAAUAGACCAGUCAGAUGCAUUGUGGCCAUUUUUGCUUUGGUUCAAUAAGUGAAGAAACCUAUAGGAACAUAUAUUCUGUGUUUUGUGAUCCACCUUGUAAGACUGCCGCCUCUCUAUUAAUAUAGACCUAUGACCUUGCUUUGCUUGCUCUGCUUUAUGAGCGAAUGCUCUCCUGCUGCAGUUUCUAUAUAUUCUUUUUUUCAACAAUUGAUGUUUAUUUGGAUUGCAUACACGUUCACAAGUGCAUCAGCAGGAUUAGUGCGCAGAGUACCCCAGAAUGGACAGGUGUUCUCCUAAAGUACUCAUGCUCUUUGGUCAGGUGCUCUAGAGAUUUCUAAUAGUAGAUCUUAUGUGCAUGGUGAAUUCAACAAGUAUGUACUCUUCCUUCUCCAUAUUUGUGCCUACCACUUAUGAGUAUCAUGAGCAUUGCCAGGCCAGUGUAUCAUAUCUUGUGAAGCUGGACUUUCUGCUUUCCAGUUGGCCUACUGAUGUGCAAAUUGAGAUUUUUUAGCUCUCAAAAUGAUUGUGUAAAAAUUUUUUGAAUCUGAAAAUUUUGGGUUGCGAAGGCUGGGCAGGGUGUCUCAAUUAUCGAAAACAAGAAAGUCUGCUGCUAAAUAGGUUAUAUUUGUUUUCUGUAGCCAGCAUAUGAAAAAAAUGUACACUUAAGAACUGAGUAUUAUUCUUAUGGAUUGUCAUAUUGUUAUUCAUGAUCUCCUAUAGUAUGAUUAGACCAAUAUAAAGUGUGGCUUCUAUUUUUAACAGACCCUCAUAUUGAACUGUUGUCCAGUGUUUAUAUUGGUUAGUGUUAAUACCUACCUGAUGGUUAGGUGGAUAUUUGAUCAAAGCAGGAACUUUAAUGUGCGUAGACGGCCUAUGAACUCAGAGGAACGUCUCACCUAAAAGUUGGACUGUUUUCUCAUUUUACAGGAUUGUGUAAAUUUUCUGAAUGAUGCAAGUUUCACCAUCCAGUUGAUCGGUCUGCACCUGAUUCCAUUGCAAAGUGGGAGCUUUCUCAGCAACCUGUGAUGCUUACUCUUGCUGGCCUUCCAAGCAGAGAGAGUUAUUCGUUAGACGGUGUCAUCGAUUAUAACUUCACAUCGUCAAUGUUCAUCUUGUUUUUCAAACACACAUGGAAGUUGCUGCAAGACACAUCACCGGGGCGGAUGCGAAGGCCGUCAAGGGCAGAGCAGAGCGAGACCGGGCGCGGCGGCCGGGUGCGGUCUGCAUAAUUGGUGGCCGGUGGUGGUGCGCGACCUGCGCGAGUUAGAGGCGAGGUGACGGCGUUGACCAGGACGCGUCGCAGAUCCUCAUCGUGCUUCCGCGAGAGGAGCUCGUCGAGGGUCCCCUCUUCCCCACGGAUCAGCGACGGAGGUGCUUGUGCCUUUCAUAUUCCACUCCAAUGCUAGAAACAUAUAUCUUUUCAUCUGAUGGAGUUUUGUUCUAAUGUAAUUCCAUGGUCAUAUAUGGAGGACUGGAUUUGAAAGGAAAAAAUUGCAAGGAGUUUUUUUUAGGAUGUUCCUGAGGCAUUAAAGAACUGGCAGUCUCAUCGUAUGAAGGUUGUCAAAAGUCGUAAAUCAGUUCUCCCUUGCAUCCGCGAAGUGGCAGAAGAGGAUUGCGAUGGCUGUGCCCCGCGCCGCCUCCAUCCCUGCACCAUCUUCGUCACAUGCAGCGGCCGACUUAUCUCCGCACAACGUGAGUGGCUCUUUAAGGAGAUUGAAGCUGAGGAUGACAAGGCACAGAAGCAGCACGACGGCGAUGCAAAAGUGUCACGUCGGUGGCUGGGUCAUCGACCUUGAUUCGAACGGAAUUAGUGAACUUUUUUAUUUGGUUUUUAUAAUGCUCGGUGUCUCACUUUUUGCAUCCAGUUUGGUAAAUUGUGUUGAAUGACAACGCUCGACGGAUGUUCGUGAACGUGUUGGUGGUAUCUGUUUGGUGAUCCACAUUGGAGAUGCCCUAAUGUCCUUGUAUACGAGUCAUUUAUUUAGCUUUUUUGAAAUUUGUGGUGCAACUUUUUA